AUCGCUUCUCGGCCUUUUGGCUAAGAUCAAGUGUAGGAAUUUGACCAAUUACACAUAAAAUGUGAGAAAAACUGGAGUUUAUACUCUCUAACUUUUUUCACGAUGUUUGUAUUACCAUGAGACAGAAAACAGAAU
ensembl:snRNA U2 U2 spliceosomal RNA